rnacentral:rRNA from 1 species
AAAGGGUAGCAAUACCUGAGUAAAGUGGCGCACGGGUGAGUAACACGUGACUAACCUACCCUGGAGUGGGGGAUAACUGAGGGAAACCUUAGCUAAUACCGCAUAAUACCUACGGGUCAAAGGAGCAAUUCGCUUCAGGAGGGGGUCGCGGCCGAUUAGUUAGUUGGCGGGGUAAUGGCCCACCAAGACAGUGAUCGGUAUCCGGCCUGAGAGGGCGCACGGACACACUGGAACUGAAACACGGUCCAGACUCCUACGGGAGGCAGCAGUGGGGAAUUUUGCGCAAUGGGGGAAACCCUGACGCAGCAACGCCGCGUGGAGGACGAAGUCCUUCGGGACGUAAACUCCUUUCGAUCGGGACGAUUAUGACGGUACCGGAAGAAGAAGCCCCGGCUAACUUCGUGCCAGCAGCCGCGGUAAUACGAGGGGGGCGAGCGUUGUUCGGAAUUAUUGGGCGUAAAGGGUGCGUAGGCGGUUUUGUAAGUCUUAUGUGAAAUCUAUGGGCUCAACUCAUAGACUGCAUGAGAAACUGCAGGGCUUGAGUAUGGGAGAGGUGAGUGGAAUUCCUGGUGUAGCGGUGAAAUGCGUAGAUAUCAGGAGGAACACCUGUGGCGAAAGCGGCUCACUGGACCAUAACUGACGCUGAUGCACGAAAGCUAGGGGAGCAAACAGGAUUAGAUACCCUGGUAGUCCUAGCCCUAAACGAUGACUGCUUGGUGUGACGGGUACCCAAUCCCGCCGUGCCGUAGCUAACGCGUUAAGCAGUCCGCCUGGGGAGUACGGUCGCAAGGCUGAAACUC